CUCAGCAACUUUUCUCUGGACAGGUUUUGAUAAAUCUUCCCCAUUAUCUUUAUUCUCGCGGUUAUAAAAAUCACACAGUCCGAUGUGCAUGAACAUGGAAGUGGAAAAUGAGAGCGGGCACGGAACAUCUUGGCUUGUUAAAGAAACAGGAGUUUUAUCUUGCAGUUUCCAGUCUAAUAUGGGUUGAAUGCUGCCAAAUAUUGUGCACCACCAAAACAAUCCUGAUCCAAAGCCUGUACUCCAUAGACCUCUAAAGGUGUCCAGUGGUAUCUGAACCAAGACUUCAACAGCGGAUCCUCUAAGUCCUUGAAGGUGUGAGAUGCAGCCUCCAUGGAUGGGACUUGUUUCUCCAGCACAUCCCACAGAUGAUCGAUGGGUUGAGAUCUGGAGAAUUAGGAGUCACCUUCUUGAUCUCUUUGUCCUGUUCCUCAUUCCUGAACAAUGUCUGCAGUCCAAACAGGGCAUUAUCCUGCUGAAAGAGGCUACUGCCAUUAGGGAUCUUGUGUCCAUGAAGGGGGGACUUGGUCUAAACAAUGUUUAGGUAGGUGGUGCAUGUCACAGUAACAUCCACAUGAUGCCAGGACACCAACUGUUAGUUGUGAGGUGCGGCCUCCAUGGAUAGAACUUGUUUCUCCAGCACAUCCCACAGAUGAUAGAUCGGAUUGAGAUCUGGGGAAUCCUGUCUACAGUGUGGCCAGGGACAUUAUCCUGCUAAAAGAGGCCACUGUCAUUAGGGUUUCCGCAUCCAUAAAGUUUGAGGGGGGAGGCUUGAUCUAAACAAUGUUUGGGUAGGUGGUAUGUGUCCCAUUAACCUCCACAUGAUGCCACGACCCAAGGUUUUCAAGAGAUCAUUGUCCAACACACUGCCCCUGCUGGUUGCUUGUCUUCUUCCCAUAGUGCCAUCUCUUUUCCAGGUGAGGGACACAUACUGAGCCGAUCGUCCAUGUGAUGUUUAGUGUUAGGUAAGGGACCCACUCUGAUUAGGUGGCCUUGACGUGGCAAGUGGGCUUGUACUUUUUGAUCAAAAUGUAUACUAACAACCUGUUAGUUUUUGAAAUUAUGCUGAGAAGCAAGAAGGUCAAAAUACAUAUGGUGGA